rnacentral:rRNA from 1 species
AUUGAACGCUGGCGGCAUGCCUUACACACGCAAGUCGAACGGCAGCACGGGAGCAAUCCUGGUGGCGAGUGGCGAACGGGUGAGUAAUAUAUCGGAACGUGCCCAGUCGUGGGGGAUAACGCAGCGAAAGCUGUGCUAAUACCGCAUACGAUCUAAGGAUGAAAGCGGGGGAUCGCAAGACCUCGCGCGAUUGGAGCGGCCGAUAUCAGAUUAGCUAGUUGGUGGGGUAAAGGCCCACCAAGGCGACGAUCUGUAGCUGGUCUGAGAGGACGACCAGCCACACUGGAACUGAGACACGGUACAGACUCCUACGGGAGGCAGCAGUGGGGAAUUUUGGACAAUGGGCGCAAGCCUGAUCCAGCAAUGCCGCGUGCAGGAUGAAGGCCUUCGGGUUGUAAACUGCCUUUGUACGGAACGAAACGGCCCUUUCUAAUACAGGGGGCUAAUGACGGUACCGUAAGAAUAAGCACCGGCUAACUACGUGCCAGCAGCCGCGGUAA